rnacentral:pre_miRNA from 1 species
UAGUUACUCCCUCCAUUCGGAAUUACUCGUCCAAAAAAUGGAUGUAUCUAGAUGUAUUUUAGUUGUAGAUACAUCCAUUUUUGUGACAAGUAAUUCCGAACGGAGGGAGUAGAUG